AGUAAAACUGAAGGGGAGGGCGGGCAUGGAACCAAAAGCCCCAGAUUGGGGAGGAAUACAAAGAUCCUGUCAGGAACGAACGGACCUCGGGACUUCGGAGUCACCAUGGCCCUGGAAAGACCCGAGUGUCACAGCCCAGGCCUGUGCAUCAUCAGAUCCAGGACCGGUCCUGCUGCUGUCCUUCACAGGAGGGGAGAAGAACACAGGUGUGGGACUCUAAGCCUCCCUGGGCCUCACAUUCCUAGUCUCCUAACUGGUGGGAAGUUGUGGUAAAAGUGCCCAUGACAGGGCUGGAAGGAUGUUUGCGACAACUCACUGCGGAAAGAUCAUUCCUGUUCUGUGACAGAAGAAGAAAUGCUGAUGGCCCACAUGAUACUGUGGGUCUCCACGGCGACACUGCAUACAGAGCAGCCCCUGAAGAAUGCUGAAGGGAAGGCCAAGAGCUCUGAAAGAUCCCUGGAAGGGAGCCAAAAGCGCACUGCUUAACCUCUGUCCAACCCGUAUAGUGGCUAUCGCGCUCAGGGCAGGUCUUGCUUGUUGUGAUGGCGUACACCUAUAACCACAACACUUGGGAGGCUGAGGGAUUACAGGACACCGAAGAAUGCUAUUCCAGAGGAUGCAGUGGGAAAUAUCCGGAACCUCACAGGAAUGACACAGGGCCAAACCCAGGUUCAGCAAGCACCCUUUGGCCACCUGCUGUGAGCCGAG
rnacentral:lncRNA from 1 species